rnacentral:rRNA from 1 species
CCCUUAGAUGUCCUGGGCUGCACGCGCGCUACACUGAUGUGUCCAGUAAGCACCUAACCUCUUCCGGAAGGAACGGGUAACCUUUGCAAAGCACAUCGUGAUGGGGAUAGAUUAUUGCAAUUAUUAGUCUUGAACGAGGAAUUCCUAGUAAGCACAAGUCAUCAGCUUGUGUUGAUUACGUCCCUGCCCUUUGUACACACCGCCCGUCGCUCCUACCGAUUGAAUGUUCCGGUGAGCUCUUCGGACUGCGCGGUCUGCAGUUUCUGCGUUCCGUGCGGAAAGUUGCGCAAACCUUAACAUUUAGAGGAAGGAGAAGUCGUAACA